UGCAGAAUCCCGUGAACCAUCGAAUCUUUGAACGCAAGUUGCGCCCGAGGCCACUAGGCCGAGGGCACGCCUGCCUGGGCGUCA
rnacentral:rRNA from 1 species